rnacentral:misc_RNA from 1 species
GGAAAGUUAGUCUGGUAACCUAGUGUUGUCUCCCCCAGCCAGGCCAGGAUAUUCUAUGUUAAAUGACAGCUAAGCACCACAUGCUCUUCAAGUUCCCAGGAAAUGCUCUCAGGUAGUAUAAUGCCAUUUUCCGGGCUCUUGGCAACACGAUGUUAUGCUGCUUAAUCCCUUUUAAGACCAAAAGAUACUGCUAGAAAAGAGCCACACUAAAGUACAUCAAUAGGUAAAUAGAUUCAGCCUUAUUUUA